CUUGUACCUGCGGGCACAGGGGCGUCAGGGGGGUCCCGGCGCCCGUCCCCGCCGGCAGCGCCCCGCACUCACGUGGACUCCACCAGGCUGAAGCACUUGCCGGAGAGCCUGAAGAGGUGCGCGGGCCCUGGAAGAGAGCGCGACAGCCGAGUCCGGCGGGGGCGCCCGCGGCUGGGACUCGGGACAGGAGCACCGGGGCCCACUGAAGCGACCUCCGAGGGCGACAGCGGGCACCCUGCAGCUGGCGGGCUGGCCUCCGUCAGGCCUCCGCGCUCGGGCGGAAAGGUGGGCACUGAGACUUCCUGGAGCCGGGGACGGGAGGCGGCCGGGGGACAACGGGGCCCCAAGAAGCGUGGGGACACGGGGAAAGGAAGACGGGCGAAAGCAACCGCGCGCUCACGGGUCAUCGACGAGGAGCCUCGGCACGGAGCCGGGGUCGCAACAAAUCCCUACCCGGGGACACAGGGCCUCAUCGAGGGGAACGGUGCCAGAGCGGUCCCAGCAGAAGCCCAUACGGCUCUCUGGGAGUAAAGGCUUCUAAAUGUACUAGAAGAACUGGGACCUAGGCAGACACAAGAACAGGGGACAGCGGGAAGGAACGCUGGGGCAGACGGCAGAGACGAGGGCUCGAUGCCACUCCGGCAGACGGAAGAGCCGGGCCGUGGGGCGAGGUCGCAGCAUGGGGGCCCCCACGGGAGGGCUCGGAUGGGCCGAGCGUCUGGGAGGACCAGAAGAAAGUCCCCAGUGUGACAGAAGAGGGGAACUCCAAGGAGGACAGGCGCAGACCCUCGGCAGACACCCAAGGGCGACGAGAACUGAGGCCCGUCGGGGGACCCAGCCUGCAGCCUGGAAGGCGGCGCAGUGAAGGACGCGGCCGUCAACCCACCGGCCAGGCGGACGGGGGACGGCAGAGGGGACCUGGUCCCCACAGGGUGCCCUCCCCUUGGAACGGUGAAGGCGAAGUCACGGCUGCGGCACAGAGCCGGGAUGCUUGCCGUCCCGACCUUGUCAGUCUAUCGAAUGUGGAAGGUGCAUCACAAAACCAUCACACGUCUUUGCUGGUGGGUCCCCGGCGUCUUGAGGAGGUGAGCGUGGGACGGACGGCAGAGCUGGGGGGGGGGGGGGGACACUGAUUUUGUUCGUGACUCAAACUGACGAGAAACUGCAAUCAGAUCUGAAUAACCUGCGUCACAAGGGAGGAAACGAGGGACGAAAUACACACUCUGUUUCCUGGGAGUCCUUCUUAUCAACACGUCCAAGUGAAGGAAUUAACUAUCCAUCUGGUCAAAAGGCACAGGCCGGCCAAGGGGAGGAGACCCCUCAGAGAGGCUCCUGUUAGCUGUAAAAGUCCGGAGAAAGAGGGCCGGGGCGGUCACACUGCCACCAGAGCGACCGUAUGCCACAAACGGUCAGGAGAGACAACGGGUGUUCUGUUCUGAAUAAACCUAAAAGGACUAAAACGCCACUUUCUGAUCACAACGGAAACCAGAAAUCAACAGCAGAAGCAGGAAAUGCACAGAUCCAGAGUAAUUACACUCAGGGAAAUCAGGAAAUACUCGAGACAAGGAGAGCAGGAGGCUCAGAGCCCAGGUGCGGAGAGGGGGCCGGGCGUCUCCAGCACGUUCAAGUACGCGCUCACGCCGGUGACCUAGCUCUCACACUCUCAGCACUAAAACGAGCACACGAGACACAAAGCUGGCAGAAGAAAGAAAAUGAAAAGCAGUAAAAGCCAACACUGCUUCUUUAAAAAGCUCCCCAAGAUCCCAAGUGUUUCGCUAGACUGACUAGAACACACACACGAGCGCUGAAACCCCUAAAACCAGGCAGGAACGUGGGGAAGCUGCCAGUUUGGCUGAAAGACGGCUACCGGAAUACUGAACGAGCCGGCCGCCAACCGAUCGGUCAGCUAUGCGAAACAGGCAGUUCCUAGGAACGCACCAUUUAUCAGUCCUUCUCAAGGGUCCCCAAGCCACGGAAGAGCGGACCACACGCUGCUUCACGGUGUGGGGCCAGCGUCACCCCGAACCCAAAGUCAACAAGUCACAAGGAAACCACGGUCCAAUAUCCACUCCGAACAGGAGUG